rnacentral:lncRNA from 1 species
CGUGUUCUCUGCGCAGAUGCAGCGUGGUAUGUGUGGUGUGCGUGGUGUGCAUGGUGUCAGUGGUGUGAUGUGCAGCGUGGCGUCUGUACUGUGGAGAAGUAGCGCUCCAGUUCCCUGAGGACUCUCCGGCACUGCAGCAGGUUCGGGACGACUUGUGGCUGCGCCCUGGGGAAGAAACAGCUCCUGUCAGUAGCUGACUGCUGAAGACGGAACUUCGGUGUGGCUUCUUCGUGUUGCGGGUUUCUCCCGGGCGUUUUUUCCUUCAUGGCACCGUGUGGCAGGUGUGGCGUCCACAGUGAGGAGAAAGUGAAGCACUCCAGGUCCCUCAGGACUUGCUGGACGGGACACUGCGGCAGCUUUGGGAUGACUUGGGACUGCGCCCUUGGGAAGAGACAGCUCCUAUCCACUGUGCUGACUGCUGAGGAGGGAGCUUCCUUGCAGUUUCGCCUCAGCGCAGCUCCUCAGCUGUUUUUUCUUCAUUGUUCAUCUGUAUGGCUCCAAAUGAAAAUGACAUUUUCUUCUCAAGGAGUGCAUUGCAUUGUGCAGAUAUACUGCAGUUUCUUUAUCCCUUCAUCUGUGGAUGGCCAGGUUCCACUAUGUUGCUGUGAAUGACAUGAUUUCAGUAUGCAUGUCUAGCUGAAGAGUAUUUAUUUGUGAAUGGGUACUGCGGUUUCUGGAUCUCAUUCUCUGUGGGUGGACAGGUUUCUUCACCUUGCUGGAAGUGACCUGAUGUCCAGAAGUUUGAUGGCUGAAGAGUAUUCUCUUGUGCAUAUAUCCUUCAGUUUCUGCAUGUCUUCAUCUGUGGAUGGACAGGUAGGUUGACUCCGUACCUUGAUUAUUGUCUCUAGUGCCUCAUGAAACAUGGGAAGGCAGGUAUCUCCUUAAGGUAUGAAUUUCUUCUGCUUUACAGGUAUACCCAGUGUUGGGAUGGCUAGAUGAAGAACUGGUAGUUGUACUGCUGAUUCUUUCAGAAACCUCCAGAUGUUUUUCCUAGUGUUUAUGGGAGUUUACAUUACCACCAAUAGGAGAUAAGAGUUCCUGUGUCUGCAAGUCUACAUACACUAGCCCUUGCCUUCAGAAAAAUUUAUUGCUCUUUCUGGUCAUACUCAUCCUCCAGGGAAGUUGGACAGUAUGUGAGUGUGGGUGGUUGGGAUUUACAUUUGGGGGAUGAUUGCUGAUGUGAAGAAAUUUUUCUGUUACCCAAGAGUCAACGUAAGGUCUUCUUUUAAGAAAUGUCCACGCAGGU